CUACGUGCCAGCAGCCGCGGUAAUACGGAAGGUCCGGGCGUUAUUCGGAUUUAUUGGGUUUAAAGGGAGCGUAGGCCGGAGAUUAAGUGUGUUGUGAAAUGUAGACGCUCAACGUCUGACUUGCAGCGCAUACUGGUUUCCUUGAGUACGCACAACGUUGGCGGAAUUCGUCGUGUAGCGGUGAAAUGCUUAGAUAUGACGAAGAACUCCGAUUGCGAAGGCAGCUGACGGGAGCGCAACUGACGCUUAAGCUCGAAGGUGCGGGUAUCGAACAGGAUUAGAUACCCUGGUAGUCCGCACAGUAAACGAUGGAUGCCCGCUGUUGGUACCUGGUAUCAGCGGCUAAGCGAAAGCAUUAAGCAUCCCACCUGGGGAGUACGCCGGCAACGGUGAAACUCAAAGGAAUUGACGGGGGCCCGCACAAGCGGAGGAACAUGUGGUUUAAUUCGAUGAUACGCGAGGAACCUUACCCGGGCUUGAAUUGCAGAGGAAGGAUUUAGAGAUA
rnacentral:rRNA from 1 species